GAGCUAUCAACCGCUCAGCCAUCUCUCC
rnacentral:tRNA from 1 species